GGGUCUCUGUGAAGGUGCUGCAUGGUUGUCGUCAGCUCGUGCCGUGAGGUGUCGGCUUAAGUGCCAUAACGAGCGCAACCCCUUUCCCUAGUUGCCAUCGGUUUUGGCCGGGCACUCUGGGGACACUGCCUCCGCAAGGAGUGAGGAAGGUGGGGAUGACGUCAAAUCAGCACGGCCCUUACGUCCGGGGCUACACACGUGUUACAAUGGGUGAUACAGAGGGCCGGCCGCUGGCAACAUCGGUCCAAUCCUUAAAGUCAUCCUCAGUUCGGACUGGGGUCUGCAACCCGACCCCACGAAGCUGGAUUCGCUAGUAAUCGCGCAUCAGCCAUGGCGCGGUGAAUACGUUCCCGGGCCUUGUACACACCGCCCGUCAAGCCAUGAAGGCCGGGGGCGCCUGAAGUCCGUGACCGCGAGGGUCGGCCUAGGGUGAAACCGGUGAUUGGGGCUAAGUCGUAACAAGGUAGCCGUACCGGAAGGUGCGGCUGGAUCACCUCCUU
rnacentral:rRNA from 1 species